rnacentral:rRNA from 1 species
UACAGAGGGUGCGAGCGUUGUUCGGAAUUAUUGGGCGUAAAGAGCGCGUAGGCGGUUUGCUAAGUCUGAUGUGAAAGCCCUCGGCUUAACUGAGGAAGUGCAUUGGAUACUGGCAGGCUAGAGUGUGAGAGAGGAUCGUGGAAUUCCUGGUGUAGCGGUGAAAUGCGUAGAUAUCAGGAGGAACACCGGUGGCGAAGGCGGCGAUCUGGAUCAUAACUGACGCUGAGGCGCGAAAGCGUGGGUAGCAAACAGG